rnacentral:rRNA from 1 species
CGAACGCUGGCGGCGUGCUUAACACAUGCAAGUCGAACGCGAAAUUUUUUCUUCGGAAGAAAGAGUAGAGUGGCGCACGGGUGAGUAACGCGUAAGUUAUCUACCCUGGCAUCUGGAAUAACUCACCGAAAGGUGUGCUAAUACCGGAUACGUUGGAUUUAUCCAAGAAAGGUGGCCUCUUCAUGAAAGCUACUGUGCUGGGAGGAGCUUGCGUACCAUUAGCUAGUUGGUAGGGUAAUGGCCUACCAAGGCAACGAUGGUUAGCGGGUCUGAGAGGAUGAUCCGCCACACUGGAACUGGAACACGGACCAGACUCCUACGGGAGGCAGCAGUGAGGAAUAUUGCGCAAUGGGGGCAACCCUGACGCAGCGACGCCGCGUGGAUGAUGAAGGCCUUCGGGUCGUAAAAUCCUGUCAGAUGGAAAGAAAUGUAUAGUGGUUAAUACCCAUUAUAUUUGACGGUACCAUCAAAGGAAGCACCGGCUAACUCC